CUUGUAGAAAAGUUCCGUUCUGCCAAAUGAGGUUGCUCAAUUGAGCUCUUGGCCAACAACUACAAUUAAAAGCUUCAGAAAGGAGAUGAGCUACAGAGACAGCAGAAGAAAACACUUUCUCUGCCACAGGAAAAAGAUGAUCUUAUUGAGCUGGAUGAUACCGAAAAGGAACUGGAGGAGGUGCAUGCUGAUCUUGUCAUAGUCAUGCAGGAACUUGAUUUGGCAAAAGCUGAGGUUUACUGCUACAGGGCUUUGUGUUUCUUGGGCUUCCCCACCGCCCAAUGGAUCAAAACUACAACCAUCACUUCAGUAAAGACUGCUACCAUUGCUUUGACCAAAGGACAUCAAAAUUACAACAAUCAAGUCUUGGUGCUGGACUCACAGGUGGGGACUACAUACCUUUCUGCUCUUACCCUUUCUUUCUCUCCCCUUAUACAUUUUCUGAAGUGUUACUUUUUUGCUUUUAAAUUGCUAUAUUAUUAUAAAUAAUAAUCAAAAUGGCUACAUAUCUGCUUUCCAUUCCAACCAAAUU